CUAGAACAUCCAUACAAAUAAGUUUACUAUAGAUCGCCACAGUGGUGUCCUUCGCAUCAAAACCGGGAUCACUCUUGACUAUGAAAAAUCCAGAACUUAUUUUGUUACUGUGGUGGCAAAGGAUGGCGGCGGCAAGCUCCGUGGCAACAACAAGGUGUUCUCAGCCACAACCACUGUCACAAUCAAUGUGGAAGAUGUUCAGGACACACCUCCGAUGUUUGUCGGCACUCCCUACUAUGGAUAUGUCUAUGAGGACACUCUGGCCGGUUCUGAGGUAAUAACGGUCGUUGCUAUUGAUGGGGACCGAGGGAAGCCUAAUGACAUUCAUUACCGUCUUUUGAAUGGUAAGU